AGGAAGGAGCCCAGGGCUCCUCGCGAAAGUGCGGCCAAAGCCCGGAAGCGUCCGCAGGCCCCGGUGCCCGGAGGAGACGUGAAGGCCUUUCGGGGAAUCACGACGACUUCCACGGUGACGCAAUUCUGCAACAUUAUACAGAUGUGUAUAUUUAAAUUCUGCCUGGAAGGCAGGAGCCAUCUCGUCGGCCUGCAAGUGCUCCACGCAACUAGAAAUCAGGAACAGCGGCCAAGAGGGUUAUAAAUAUAAUUAAUAACAAUAAUUAGAAAGGUGUGCGGAGGCUGGGAGGGUGGUGGGUCUCGGAACUGGAAAACUGAGACUUCUGGCUUAUUGCUUGCUCCUCAGCAUCACUACCCCACGCUUUUCGCAGCACGAGCUUGAGUCAUUUUCUAUGAAAUCGGUGACUAAGAGAUGCAGCAUAUUGCACCCCCAACCAGCCACAAAGGGGCGAGCCCUUGUCAGGAGACCACAGAUGUUAUUUGUGCUCCCCCUGGAGGCGACAUCGUCCGAGGCUUCCUUUCGCUUCCAAGCGUCUCUCCAAAAGUAUUCAAUUGUGAUCCCUGAGGUAUGAUGUAGCCUCGCGCUCUGAGACUUGGCCAGUGAUUCAGGACCAACCCUGCGCCUCUGUCUGGCAAGUCCGGAAACACUUGUCUGGCCAGGGCCAGUUAGUUGUGUGGCCGAGUGCUGCUUUAAAUGUACGGUCUUGGUUCGAAGGCUCACUCUGCGCUGACUGACCCCACACCGCAGCCUACCCCCAAGCUUGCUGACAGGGAAGUCCUUUCCUCUCACCAAUUCAUAGUGGUAGAAAAUGCUGUGUUGAGAGGUGCGUGGGUCACUCAUACCCUUGCCCCCGGGAUUUAGGUGGGGGAAACUGGGACCAGUGAAGUGGUUACCAAAAGGUUCCCUGUCACUCCCGGUGUUCAAGGGCCACCUGGGGAGAUGCCUACUGUGAUGCCCUCAUUUCACUUCCACGAACCCUGGACGCCAGUUUUCAAGUCAUAAUCCUGAUUUCAAUUCGACCAGGAAGAUUUCAAAUAGUAUUUAACGUUCCUUGUGAACGUAGGGGAACAUCUCUCCAUACCCUGUCCAUUGCAUUCGAGUGGAGGUACUUGCAUUGACUACACUAAUAAAUCUGAAAGUUACUUCAUACAUUCUGAAAGGUUAGGAAAGGCACCACACUAUCUUGAAGUCAGGUCUUGACACUUUCCCGUGAAGGAGAAGAGAGCAAGGUUUGCUGCUUGCAUCACCAUUAGCUCUGGCUGUGUUUGCGAAGACUAGUAUUCUGAAAGGAGGAAAUGUGGAAAGGUUAAAGAGCUGUAGGAGCCAGCUCUGCCGGAAAGCUGAACUUGGUCCAAGCACCACAAGUUAGUAGCAUGGCUGGCUGCCUUUCUCUAGGCCUGUUUUCUGCUUU
rnacentral:lncRNA from 1 species